UACGGGGGGGGGCGAGCGUUGUUCGGAAUCACUGGGCGUAAAGGGCGCGUAGGCGGCCCGCACAAGUCUGCGGUGAAAACCCCCGGCUUAACCGGGGGCCGGCCGUGGAAACUGUCGGGCUGGAGGCCGGGAGAGGGCAGGCGGAAUUCCCGGGUGUACGCGGUGAAAUGCGUAGAAGAUCGGGAGGAACACCGGCGGGCGAAGGCGGCUGCCUGGACCGGCCCUGACGCUGAGGCGCGAAAGCUA
rnacentral:rRNA from 1 species